UACGGAGGGUGCAAGCGUUAUCCGGAUUCACUGGGUUUAAAGGGUGCGUAGGCGGAUUGGUAAGUCCGUGGUGAAAUCCCCAAGCUUAACUUGGGAACUGCCGUGGAUACUAUCAGUCUUGAAUAUCGUGGAGGUAAGCGGAAUAUGUCAUGUAGCGGUGAAAUGCUUAGAUAUGACAUAGAACACCAAUUGCGUAGGCAGCUUACUACACGAUCAUUGACGCUGAGGCACGAAAGCGUGGGGAGCAAACAGG
rnacentral:rRNA from 1 species